UCCAUUGGAUUUUUUGAGGAAAUUAAGUGAAAACCUCUUUAAAUCCAUGUAUUCCUUCAUAGAGCGCCAGUCUGAUGUGCGCGCUCCACUGCUGCAGCACGCGCUUCUCUCUGCUACGCUCCUCCAGAACGCGCUUGCGAACUCACGUCACUCACGGUCGUUUACUUUUACCUCAGAGACAAACAUUAUUUUACAGAUUUCUUUACUUUCUUUCGUCAUUUAGUAACUUAAAUAUCAGAGAACAAAUAUUUUAGUGGUUUUCGAUCGAUUUUAAAGUCUAUAUGAAGACAGGGUGUUAGAAGCGUUUGAUUGGUGUAAAAACAAGAGAUAACGUUAGCUAGGCGGCUACUGCUCUGUGUUGAGAACUUGAAAAUGUGCUGUGCUGUAAAUGAGUAGGAACUGAUCUGUCCAUGCUGGAUAUAUUGAUGAUUUCAUCACAGAAAUCUCUCAGCUGAAGAAAGAGGUGGCGUUAC